rnacentral:rRNA from 1 species
AUUGAACGCUGGCGGCAGGCCUAACACAUGCAAGUCGAACGAGUGGCGGACGGGUGAGUAAUGUCUGGGAAACUGCCCGAAGGAGGGGGGUGACUACUGUAAACGGUAGCUAAUACAGCAUACCAUCGGAUGUUCCCAGAUGGGUGUAGCUAGUAGGUGGGGUAACGGCUCCCCUCGGCGACGAUCCCUAGCUGGUCUGAGAGGAUGACCAGCCACACGUGACCUGAUACAAGGUCCAGACCCCUCCGUGAGGCAGCAGUGGGGAAUAUUGCAAAAUGGGGGCAAGCCUGAUGCAGCCAUGCCGCGUGUAUGAAUGAGGCCUUCGGGUUGUAAAGUACUUUCAGCGAGGAGGCGUUACUCGCAGAAGAAGCACCGGCUAACUCCGUGCCAGCAGCCGCGGUAAUAC